rnacentral:rRNA from 1 species
GCAUAUCAAUAAGCGGAGGAAAAGAAACCAACAGGGAUUGCCCUAGUAACGGCGAGUGAAGCGGCAACAGCUCAAAUUUGAAAUCUGGCUCCGGCCCGAGUUGUAAUUUGCAGAGGAAGCUUCUGGUGCGGCACCGUCCGAGUCCCCUGGAACGGGGCGCCAUAGAGGGUGAGAGCCCCGUAUGGAUGAAUGCUAAUCCUGUGUGAAGCCCCUUCGACGAGUCGAGUAGUUUGGGAAUGCUGCUCAAAAUGGGAGGUAAAUUUCUCCUAAGGCUAAAUAUUGGCGAGAGACCGAUAGCGAACAAGUACCGUGAGGGAAAGAUGAAAAGAACUUUGAAAAGAGAGUUAAACAGUACGUGAAAUUGUUGAAAGGGAAACGAUUGAAGUCAGUCAUACCAACGGGAAAUCAACCUUCUGAGCUUGGUCUCGUGGGUUUUGAAGAGUUUCAAAGCCUUCGGAUUCGCGGGAUUGGGAUCUCUUGGUGUACUUUUUCGUACGGUUAGUCAACAUCGGUUUUGAAUGUCAUAAAAUGACUGGAGGAAUGUAGCUUCAAUCUCGUAUUGAAGUGUUAUAGACUUUGGUAGAUGUGAUGUUUGAGACCGAGGAUUGCAACGGAUACCCUUCAGGGCUAUUCGUCUGAUCUCUGAUACGUUGCCUUGAUGUUGAAAGCUUGCUUAUGAUGUUAGGGUAUUACGGUCAAAAGGUUAGAACGAAUUACAUUCGUUAAGGAUGUUGACGUA